UCGCAUCGCAUUUUUUGUUUGGUUCACUGCAUGUGUAUCUCGGCAACCGAUUUAUCAAUUUGUACCAAACUCAGUGACCUUGACCUUGACCUUGGCAUAAAAAAGCUAUAUGUUGAAAAUUUUCGAAAUCGGACUAAAAUUACGACCACUUUCCACUUAAAAAAAAAAACUCGUAAAAAACGUUAAAAACGUAUGGUGCGUUUCUUUAAAACGCUGCACCGCGUUGGUUUUUGAAUUCUAGCAGCUGAAGGAACGUGUACUAAAAAUUUCAGACAUGUGCUCCCGAUUAAAAAAAAAAAACAAAAAAAUUCGAAGUUUGUGAGAAUUGCCCAUAUACAUAUGUAGUUUCUAACGUGAUUUUCGAUUCGAAUGCUGACUCGAUUCGUGAUGCUGACUACACACGGUUGUCUUGUGUGUAUCGUUCUGAAAAGAUGUUUUUGAGGAAAACUAAAUUUUCUUCCGCAAGUUCAUAACAGAGCACGCCAUACUGAGGUUGCCGUAAUAGUUGCCUCCACGGUUGCCUCGUGUGUAUUGAACAAGAAAAUCAGGUUGCCUAAAUACGUUGCCUAAACGGUGUGUAGUCAGCAUUAAAAUCUUUUAUUGUAUCUUGACACUUGCAGCAAAGAUACGAUAUCUCACGUUUAAUAAUAUAGAGAACUAAAUAAAAAAUUUUUAUUAAAAAUUAAAGUUUUUUGAGAUUUCAUCAUGCAAUUAAUAAAGGUGAUAGGGAUAAUACGCUCCAGCUCUGAAAGUAUUCAACGCGGGGCUUGAUGCUGGUAACAGAGGAAGAGGAAGGUCUUCUUUGCGUUGGAAAUACAAGGUGGAGAGGGACUUGAAUUUACUUGGCAUUUCCAAUUGACGUUAAAUGGCGCAGUCUACCAUAUAACUAAACUUCAGAAAAAUGGCGAAGAUAUGUCUUUUCAUCUGUCCUUUUGUACACCAACUGCAUGAAUUGAUCAAAAUUUAAAGUUUGAAAUUAUUCCCUAUGUUAUUAAACGUGCGGUAUAAGGUUUGUUCCACAAGCUACUUGUAGAAAAACUCGAGCAAAGUUCAAACUGUCAGCGUAUAUCAAAUAAACUCAAAAACUUAAUGGUGGAACGCGUAUAUGUAACUCGAAGUGACUUCGAGUAGCUUGUGGAACAAACCUAUUAUUUAUGUAUGAUUUUUUUUUUUUUUUUUUGUUGAAAGAAGGAUAUUGUCGUCAUCAAAUCAAAAGAAACAAAACACAUUUUUAAAUUUCUGCUUAAAAGCUUUCAGAACCAUCGUCCUUAUUAAAAUAUGUAUGGCUUUGAAGAUGAUGAUGACAAUGUGCAUAGUUUCUAUGUAUGAGUGCGUUCAGAAAUGCAUCAAACCAAA